rnacentral:misc_RNA from 1 species
UUAAGUUCAGCGGGUAGUCCUACCUGAUUUGAGAUCAAACGUUCAAAAAGCUGUCUUCACUGAGGAAAGACAUUUAUAAGCUCCAGCAAACCUCUGUCACCAAAGGUUACUCGGCAGACAACCACAAGCGUAGAUAGUUAUCACACCUGUGACGCCACCAAAUACUGGUAAGCUGAUACAUUUGAGAGGAGCUGACCACA